rnacentral:rRNA from 1 species
GACGAACGCUGGCGGCGUGCUUAACACAUGCAAGUCGAACGGAAAGGCCCUGCUUUUGUGGGGUGCUCGAGUGGCGAACGGGUGAGUAACACGUGAGUAACCUGCCCUUAACUUUGGGAUAACUUCAGGAAACUGGGGCUAAUACCGGAUAGGAGCUCCUGCUGCAUGGUGGGGGUUGGAAAGUUUCGGCGGUUGGGGAUGGACUCGCGGCUUAUCAGCUUGUUGGUGGGGUAGUGGCUUACCAAGGCUUUGACGGGUAGCCGGCCUGAGAGGGUGACCGGCCACAUUGGGACUGAGAUAGGGCCCAGACUCCUACGGGAGGCAGCAGUGGGGAAUAUUGCACAAUGGGCGGAAGCCUGAUGCAGCAACGCCGCGUGCGGGAUGACGGCCUUCGGGUUGUAAACCGCUGUCGCCUGUGACGAAGCGUGAGUGACGGUAAUGGGUAAAGAAGCACCGGCUAACUACGUG